CUUUGUAACCAGUGACUGCCCGUUCUGCAGAGAGCAGUUUGGUUUUCCAUUCCGUCCCAACAAGUCCUUCAGUCACCGCCUGCUCUACUGACAGCUUUUUAUUCUUCACUGGGUCAAUAAUAAAACCAGUGGCAGCCUGAGCUUCAAGCAAAACCAGAGAUGUUCCAGGUGUCAGAAGUCCCUUAUUUUUGGCAUUGAAGAUGCUCAUGGUUUGUUUGGUAGACUGUACAAACACACCAGCGAUGCUAUUUGUUCCUUUCAGGUAUUUUCGCACAGAGUCCAUUUCACUUACGUGAUCAACUGUUACUUUUCCGGAAGUUAGGUCUUUGUAAAUUUUCUCAUCAAUGACUUUGGAUUUCCACAACUCAUCAGCGCUCACAUCCUUUCUGAUACCUUUAAAUGUUUGGUUUU